rnacentral:lncRNA from 1 species
CAAAAUCACUGCCACACAAAGGCAGCAGAGCAGCAUCUUGCUGUUAUCUCACCUGUCCUUCUGUACAUCCAAGUUCAAAUGUCUGCUCCUCUCACAGUUCUUCCACAAUGGGGACAACUAAUCCUGCUGAUUUUCCUUAGAUAUUGGAUUUUGAGUGCCCAGGCAGCCUGCUAUGUGAAGUAG